rnacentral:tRNA from 1 species
GGAGGUUUGGCAGAGUUGGUCGAUUGCACUGGUCUUGAAAACCAGCGGCCGGUAACACGGUCCGUAGGUUCGAAUCCUACAGCCUCCG